rnacentral:rRNA from 1 species
AUUGAACGCUGGCGGCAGGCCUAACACAUGCAAGUCGAGCGGAUGAGAAGAGCUUGCUCUUCGAUUCAGCGGCGGACGGGUGAGUAAUGCCUAGGAAUCUGCCUGGUAGUGGGGGACAACGUUUCGAAAGGAACGCUAAUACCGCAUACGUCCUACGGGAGAAAGCAGGGGACCUUCGGGUCUUGCGCUAUCAGAUGAGCCUAGGUCGGAUUAGCUAGUUGGUGAGGUAAUGGCUCACCAAGGCGACGAUCCGUAACUGGUCUGAGAGGAUGAUCAGUCACACUGGAACUGAGACACGGUCCAGACCCCUACGGGAGGCAGCAGUGGGGAAUAUUGGACAAUGGGCGAAAGCCUGAUCCAGCCAUGCCGCGUGCGUGAAGAAGGUCUUCGGAUUGUAAAGCACUUUAAGUUGGGAGGAAGGGCAGUAAGUUAAUACCUUGCUGUUUUGACGUUACCGACAGAAUAAGCACCGGCUAACUCUGUGCCAGCCGCCGCCGUAACAC